AAAUCUGAAACGGAACAAUAAAGAGUUAAUACUGGUGAAGAUAAUAAUACACAAUUUAUUAUCAAAAAUCAACAUUACACACAGUUAAUAUAUUUGCAAGAAUUUUAUAAAGGAGAAGCGAAUAAAUUUAUCUGGAUAAAUACCUGUUUGGAUCAUUCUUAAGGUCGAAGCCGUCGAUCUUCACGAUGUUCCACUCGUCUCUGGGGCCCUUGGAAUAGCUGAAUGAUAUCUGCAAAUAAUAAGUUAUGGUUUAAAUGAUUGCCAAGAUAAACUUUUUCCGUGUAUUGAUUGACAAGCAUCAUCGGAUCAUUUAUGUAACAGUCCAAGUGUGUGUAAAGGAUUCUUCAUGUAUUUGUUGGUGUACCAGGUCUGCAGAAAGGCGCCUUCAAAUGUUGAUCCACAAGAUUGGAGCAAUGUCCUUUUUAUAUACAUAUAUAUGUAUAUGUAUAAUAUCUGGUAGUAGUUAUUCUCAAGGUGAUUCUCGCUUUGGCAAUCGCAAAGCGGAACGGUCGACGUCUCCUCUUGCUACUGGGACUGCCAUGUGUAUACUUGAAUAAUCAACUUUAGCGUUGUGUUGUGGUGUGGCUUUUGCUUGAGGGGCACAACGUGAGAACGCGAGCGGGCCUCCCCUUUAGUCCCGGCUAUGUAACUUGCUUCGUUGCCCGUGAUAAUUGCCACUGUGAGGAAAUACCACGUCCGUCAGAAAACGUAAUUCUGCACACCAAGCUGAUAAUGUCUUUUGAAUUUUUUCUCAUUCAAUUAUACGCCGUCUACAUAUAUUAUAAAUACCAUACGAAUAAUUUAUAAAAACACCUGCGCGUGUCUUGCCAAUAACCUUCAAUUUUUCCUUUUCUUUUUCCUUCUCCUUCUUCUUCUUCUCUUUCUCUUCAUUUGCUGUUUAUUAUUUAUUAAUAUGUAUUUAUGCUUCUCAAUUAAUUAAAGGUGAAACAUCAAGUUUAUACAUCGAUAGAUUUGGCUUAACUCUGUUCACCACAAAUUUCAUAAGUGGUUACUAUUCAAUUCACAAGUUUGUCCUCUACAAGCUCAGUUUUAUUUAUUUUCAUACCUUCCACAAUUAAAAACAUUGUUUGAUUAUUUACAGUUUAUGGUUACGUCCGCAACAAUUGAUUUUUUGUCAAAAGUUUAAUUGUAAAUGUCAACAACUAAAAUCAACCCCUGGUAUUUGCUACUCACGAUAUUCAAUUUGUGCAGUAAUAAAAAUAAUAUCGUGGUUCAAGAAAAUUAUUUUGAAAUUAAUUAACUAUUUUAUUUCAAAAAUCUGAUCGUCUUGGAUUAAGAAAUUAAUCUUUGUUCGAUAUAAAUUCUUCAUUCAAGAGCGAUUGAUAGUUAAGUUUCAAACGUGUAGUGCUCAUGUAUAAGAUAAAAUUUCGAAAAAAGCGCUUCGCUCUUUGAUAGAUAAUUAAAUUAUCUAUCGAAAAGCGAAGCGCUUUUUUGAAAAUUUUCAAUUAUUUAUGCAUAAAAUGAGUUUUGAGAUUUCAUUUGUACUAAAAGUGUAACAGAGAUACUUCCGUUUAACGAAUAGAGGUCGAGAGAAAAAAAAGUGUAAACCGUUCUUUCAAGAACAAUUUUCUUCAACCAAUAAUUAUUCCGUUUUUAUUUAAGAACUUAAUAUUCUUGGAUUAAAAACAAAUUUCUUCAUU